AUGAAUAUAUUGCUUCUUAACCUGAUUUCUAUUGAAUUACAAUGUUGUAUGUAUUGCUAUUCUUUAGAUUACUCACCUAGCAAAGAGGAAGAGGCAUGCUUGCGUGGAUCGGCUUGGGUAGGUUGGUUGGUGAUGAUAUGUCUAUUGCGACCAGCAGUGGUUAUUUCACUACCACUACAUCAGAGAGACAAACCCGGCUGUGGGAUCAACAUCAUAGGUAUAAGAAGAGAGCAAGAGCUUCGUAAUUCUGCAUCGAGUACCCACUAUCACUACAUGUUGUAUAGAUCACCUAUGUAUGUACCAAAUAGAUGUACCCUUUCUUCUAUGAACUACUCUACAACGAAUCAAAUCUUGGGACGACUUACCAAAUAUUACAACAAAAAAAACUAA
rnacentral:rRNA from 1 species